GUAGGUGAACCUGCGGAAGGAUCAUUACCAAACGAGUGAGAAAUCGCUCUCUAUCUGCUCGGUGGUUCUCGGGUCGCUGAUCGGUUUUAACUCUUUGUGAACCAAAAAAACCUUUUCGCUUCGGCAGCUGGGCCUGAUCGCCUGUCAGCCUGUCGCUAGCACCAAACCACAAAUCUGUUGUCAAAACAUUGUCUGAUAACCAAAUUUUCGAAUGAAAAUUAAAACUUUCAACAACGGAUCUCUUGGUUCCC
rnacentral:misc_RNA from 1 species